CCUACGGAUUGGCGGUCCACUACUUUUUUAUUGAUUUUACUUUAACUAGCUUAAUUGAGUCUAUUCUACUAUUUUUCGAGAUGUAGAGAUGCUCUAUGAUGCUCUGCUUUGGAGAUCUAGCUUAAUGCUAACCUCCCAAUCACCUUAAAAACUCAACGAUUAAACCAGACAGCAAUAUUUGGCGGAAAAGGCCGAUAGAAGAAACCCUAAUGUCAUUCGAAUGUGCCAUAACUGCCGUGCCGUAUUGCGUCCUUCUCGAGCAACUUCAGCAACUUUUUUGCAAAAUCUGCCGGGUUCGAAAAAUCCACACUGCCUUUUCAUUUCAAAGACACCCAAUCGAUUUUGCUGCUGCAAAAUUAUAUAAAUUCUUUGUUAAAUAAAAUUUUUUUUUUCUCUUUUUUCAGCUACAGGUUAUAACUGUAUUUAAAAUUUAAUUCAGAUAAAAUUAGUUUUCAGGCAAUUUUACAAGUUAUAUUGAGUCAUCAAAAUGAAAAAAAUUUGAUAAACUAUUGAAAAUUAU
ensembl:lincRNA linc-24 ncRNA